rnacentral:tRNA from 1 species
GUGGUCGUGCCGGAGUGGCUAUGGGGCAUGACUGGAAACCAUGUGGGCUUUGCCCGCGCAAGUACGGAUCUUGCCGACCACG